rnacentral:rRNA from 1 species
GACGAACCGUGCGAACGUUAUUCGGAAUCACUGGGCUUAAAGGGCGCGUAGGCGGGUCGGUAAGUCAGGGGUGAAAUCCCACGGCCCAACCGUGGAAGUGCCUCUGAUACUGCCGGCCUCGAGGGGAUAGGGCGUGCGGAACUCAGGGUGGAGCGGUGAAAUGCGUAGAUAUCCUGAGGAACACCGGUGGCGAAAGCGGCGCGCUGGAUCCCUUCUGACGCUGAGGCGCGAAGCCAGGGAGCAAAGCGGG